rnacentral:rRNA from 1 species
CGGAGGUUGCAAGCGUUGUUCGGAAUAACUGGGCGUAAAGGGAGCGCAGGCGGCUUGGUAAGUCUAAAGUGAAAUUCCAGGGCUCAACCCUGGACGUGCUUUGGAUACUGCCUGGCUUGAGUACGUGAGAGGAGAUUGGAAUUCCAGGUGUAGCGGUGAAAUGCGUAGAUAUCUGGAGGAACACCGGUGGCGAAAGCGGAUCUCUGGCACGUUACUGACGCUGAGGCUCGAAAGCAUGGGGAGCAAACGGGAUUAGAUACCCCGGUAGUCCAUGCCGUAAACGUUGUGCGCUAGGUGUAGGAGGUAUCGACCCCUUCUGUGCCGAAGUUAACGCAUUAAGCGCACCGCCUGGGGAGUACGGUCGCAAGACUG